UUAGUUAAAGCUCACAUUCGUCAAAGUCUUCUGUCCUCAUUAAUGCUUCUUCGCAUCUUGAGAUAUUCUCUACAUAUUUCCCUAAUUUAGUUAGAAGCUUCAUUGUUGCUCUUCUUCUCUACCAAAUUAUAAGCAUGUCAUAUUUAAAAGCCAAACUCCCAUUGUUUGGUCACCUAAUGGCCACUUUUGCUUUAUUUCUUAUUCUAUUCUCUGGUGCUUCUCUUGCUAAUCUUAUUAACCAGGAUUGUGGCUCUACUUUUUUGUGGGAAUUUGAAUAUCAGUUAUCCAUUGCGAUAAAAAAAUCAACCUCCCCAGUGUGGUUACUAUAACCUGGAACUUGAGUAUGAGAAUAACAAUCGCACCACUUUGGUUUUAAGAGAAGGAAAAUUCUCUGUCCAAAAUAUUUUUUACGAAAACAAAACAAUCCACGUGAUAGAUUCGAGCCUGGAGAAGGAUGAUUGCAACUCCCUUCCUCUUAGUUCCAUAUACUGAAAGUGGGGGUUCCAAUUAUGGUUAAGAAUAUAUCAGGCAUGUCUACAUUGGCUAUCUACAACAAGCUAUCUAAGGGAUUUUACCUUUCAUGGUAUUACAGCGAGAACUACUACGAACUAUCUCUAUUGCAAUAUCUGAAAAGGGCCUUGCACCACUUCCUUUACGGAAUUCACGGAAUAGGCUUCGUUACUAUUGUAGGUAUGCAUAUGGCCUCACUUUUAUAUCUACCCAACAUUAAGCUUCGUUCCGUUUUAAAUUUUUUUUUUUCAUUUUUCAUUUUUGUAUAUACCAGAAUGGAUUUAGAAUGGCAGAUUGGCAUUCUAAAUCCAUUUAAAAUUUUUGUAUAUACCAGAAUGGAUUUAGAAUGGCAGAUUGCCACUUCGUUGUCAUUGUAUCUAUCUUGAAUCAUGCACUCCUUUCCAUUCAUAUAUUUCUCCAAAAAUAAUAUUGUUUCAGCCAACCUCAGUUCAUCCUUUCUAGGAGAUCAUUAUUGAGAAAAAACAGAACCAUUCAAGUUUAAUUUUAGGAAAAUUAAAAGAUUCUUUAUAUCUAUUUUAGUUUUAUCCUGUUUGAUUUGGAAAGAAUGUCACGGGGCUAGACCUUUCGUCUCGCAAACCGUGCGGCCUUAGGCGAUCCGUUUGCUCCAAACUCGCCUAAGUCAGCCUUUACGCCCAAAAGUGAGGAUUCCUUAGAACUCCUCCAAGGCACCAAUUUGUAUAGCGGAAGCGAUUGUGCCAAAAGAAGCUACAAGAGAACAACAGAAAGAGCGCUCGCAAAGUGUUUGAGUAAAUGCUCUCAAUUCUUAUUCACAAAGAAUAAUGAAACAAUUCAGUUAUUAAUAAGAAUUUUGAGAGUAUUCACUCAAACUUUUCUCUCAAGUGUUCUUGUUUUUGUUCUUAUUUCAAGGCUCGUUCUUACUUCGUUCUUCUGCUGUUCUUCGUGGAAACCUUAAGGGAAUUCUGUUGAAUCCUUUAUUGUUGUGAGUUAAGCUGACUUGGGCAUUUUACUGUUGAAUCCUUUAUUACUGCAAGUUAGGCUAACACAAGGGAACAAUGGGAAUAUCAAAUAAUUAAAGGGUAAACUACCAAAAUAGUCACUUUUGUUUGCCUUAGGUUACAUUUUAGUCACUUAUAUUUGAAAUGUUACGUUUUAGUCACUUACGUUAUCGUGUUGUAACAUUUUAGUCACUGAUAGACCUGUCCAUGGGCCGGGCGGCCCGGCCCGACCCGAUGGCCCGCCCGAAAUAUGGGAGGGUUUGGGUAAAAAUAUAGGCCCGAAAUAUGGGCUUGGGCAAAAUUUUGGGCCCGUUUAAAAAAUGGGCAGGGCCUCGGGCAAGAUUUUUUUGGCCCGGGCCCGGCCCGAAAAAUAUUAAAUAUAUAUAUUUUUUAUUUUUAAAAUAUAAUAGUUUUUUAUUUUAAGUUUAUUUACUUUCAUUUCCUUGACUAGUAUUACAAAAUAAUAAUAAUAAA